rfam:Oryza glaberrima chromosome 5 Oglab05_0115_11, whole genome shotgun sequence.
AAUAAGUACAGCCAUAAGUUUCCGCACCCAAUUUUGAUCUCCGUCUUAUUUAAAAUUUUUUUAUAAUUAGCUUUUUUUUCUUAUAAGAUGAUAAAACAUGAAUAGUACUUUACUCGUGACUUAUGUUUUUAAUUUUUUUCAAAAAUUUUUAAAUAAGACGAACGGUUGAAGUUGGACGCGGAAAACUAUGGCUGCACUUAUU